rnacentral:pre_miRNA from 1 species
ACAACAACAUUCGGACCGUCGGUCUACCGAGCAAUAUCACCCGCUCGGUGGAAGAUCUUCCCUUUGUCGUUUAAU